rnacentral:rRNA from 1 species
CGAACGCUGGCGGCGUGCUUAACACAUGCAAGUCGAACGAUGAAGAAAAGAAUCGAAGCUUCGGCAGAAAUUCAUUUCGGAUUAGUGGCAGACGGGUGAGUAACGCGUGAGCAACCUACCUCUUACAAAGGGAUAGCCUCGGGAAACCGGGAUUAAUACCAUAUAACAUUGUGACGAAGCAUUUCGAUGCAAUCAAAGCUACGGCGGUAAGAGAUGGGCUCGCGUCCCAUUAACCGGAUGGUGAGGUAACGGCUCACCAUAGUGACGAUGGGUAACCGGCCUGAGAGGGUGAACGGUCACACUGGAACUGAGACACGGUCCAGACUCCUACGGGAGGCAGCAGUGGGGAAUAUUGCACAAUGGAGGGAACUCUGAUGCAGCGACGCCGCGUGAGUGAUGAAGGAAUUCGUUUCGUAAAACUCUGUUCUAUGGGAAGAAAAGGACUGUACCAUAGGAGAAAGCUCCGGCUAAAUACGUG